rfam:Brachypodium distachyon strain Bd21 chromosome 1, whole genome shotgun sequence.
UUGUUACUCCCUCGGAUCCAAAUUAAUUGUCGCAGAUUUGUCUAGAUACGCAUGUAUCUAGACGUGUUUCAGUGUGUAGGUACAUGCGUAUCUAGAUAAAGCUGCGACAAUUAAUUUGUAUCGGGGGAAUAUCAU